UACGUAGGGCGCAAGCGUUGUCCGGAAUUAUUGGGCGUAAAGCGCGCGCAGGCGGUCAAUUAAGUCUGGUGUUUAAGGCUGUGGCUCAACCACAGUUCGCACUGGAAACUGGUUGACUUGAGUACAGAAGAGGAAAGUGGAAUUCCAACGUGUAGCGGUGAAAUGCGCAGAUAUCAGGAAGAACACCCGUGGCGAAGGCGGCUCUCUGGGACGGUACUGACGCUGAGACGCGAAAGCCAGGGGAGCGAACGGG
rnacentral:rRNA from 1 species